rnacentral:rRNA from 1 species
UACGGAGGGUGCAAGCGUUAUCCGGAUUUACUGGGCUUAAAGGGUGCGUAGGUGGGUAGGUAAGUCAGUGGUGAAAUCUUCGAGCUUAACUCGGAAACUGCCAUUGAUACUAUCUGUCUUGAAUACUUUGGAGGUAAGCGGAAUAUGUCAUGUAGCGGUGAAAUGCUUAGAUAUGACAUAGAACACCAAUUGCGAAGGCAGCUUACUGCACAGUCAUUGACACUGAGGCACGAAAGCGUGGGGAUCAAACAGG